GUCAAAAGACCUGCGAAACUAAGUAGUGGAACUUUAUAAAGAUGGAAAAGGAUAUAAAAGGAAAUCUAAAGCCUUGAAAAUGACAGUCCGUACUGUUCAAUCACUUAUUAAGAAGUGGAAAAUUUGGGGAUCUCUUGAUACAAAGCCAAGGUCAGGUAGACCAAGAAAGAUUUCAGCCACAACUGCCAGAAGAAUUGUUCAGGAUACAAAGAAAAACCCACAGGUAACCUCAGGAGAAAUACAG